rnacentral:rRNA from 1 species
GUGGGGAAUAUUGGACAAUGGGCGAAAGCCUGAUCCAGCCAUGCCGCGUGUGUGAAGAAGGUCUUCGGAUUGUAAAGCACUUUAAGUUGGGAGGAAGGGUAGUAACCUAAUACGUUGCUACUUUGACGUUACCGACAGAAUAAGCACCGGCUAACUUCGUGCCAGCAGCCGCGGUAAUACGAAGGGUGCAAGCGUUAAUCGGAAUUACUGGGCGUAAAGCGCGCGUAGGUGGUUCAGUAAGUUGGAAGUGAAAUCCCCGGGCUCAACCUGGGAACUGCUUUCAAAACUGCUGAGCUAGAGUACGGUAGAGGGUGGUGGAAUUUCCUGUGUAGCGGUGAAAUGCGUAGAUAUAGGAAGGAACACCAGUGGCGAAGGCGACCACCUGGACUGAUACUGACACUGAGGUGCGAAAGCGUGGGGAGCAAACAUGAUUAGAUACCCUAGUAGUCC